UACGUAGGGUCCGAGCGUUGUCCGGAGUACUGGGCGUAAAAGCGCGCGCAGGCGGCGGUGUUGGCCCGGCGUGAAAGCCCCCGGCUCAACCGGGGAGAGUCGUCGGGGACGCACCGCUUGAGGGCGGUAGGGGCUGGUGGAAUGCCUGGUGUAGUGGUGAAAUGCGCAGAUAUCAGGAGGAACACCGGUGGCGAAGGCGGAUCUCUGGGCCUACCUGACGCUCAGGCGCGAAAGCUAGGGGGAGCGAACAG
rnacentral:rRNA from 1 species